rnacentral:rRNA from 1 species
AUGAUGUCUGGGUUGAAAGUUAAUUUCCACAAGAGUGAAAUUCUAACUGUGGGGGGCGAUGACCAUAUUAAUAAAGCUUACGCAGAUCUCUUUAACUGUGAUAUUGGUCAUUUCCCUCUUAAGUAUCUAGGGAUGCCUGUGAGCUUUACUACCCUUCGAAACUCAGACUGGGAGUUCAUCGUUGAUAAAUAUUUAGUCAGGUUUGAUGCCUGGGUUGGGAAUGCUGCUUCUAUGGGAGGGAGACACACCCUUUUGGACUCGGUGGUCACCCAACUCUCUCUCUACCACAUGUCCAAGUGGCUGAUGAAUAAGACUUUUGUGGAAAAGUUGGAUAAGCAUAGGAGGAGAUUUUUCUGGCAAGGUGCCAAUAAAAAGCGACGGUAUCAUCUGGUUCGAUGGAGCAGAAUCUAUAGGUCCAAGGAUAAAGGUGGACUGGGUAUUAAAGACUUACGCAAACAAAAUAUCAGUCUUAUGCUUAAAUGGUGGUGGAAAUUGGAUACCCAACAUGGGAUUUGGCAAGAUAUUGUGAAAGCUCGUUACCUAAGAAAUCAGACAGUUGCGACUGUCGAGACCCGCUUCAAUGACUCACCAUGCUGGAAAAAUCUCUUGAAAAUCAAGGAACUGUAUGUGAUUGGGAGGAAAAUCCAUACGGGAUCUGGUGAUCUGACACGGUUAUGGAAAGACUCCAUUAACGGGCUGACCCGUUCAUGGACCAAUUCCCUAGGCUUUACAAUAUUUGUGUUGCACAUGAUUGCACACUGGACAAACUGGAGACUGUGGUUUGUGCUG